rnacentral:rRNA from 1 species
AUUGAACGCUGGCGGCAUGCCUUACACAUGCAAGUCGAACGGCAGCACGGGAGUAAUCCUGGUGGCGAGUGGCGAACGGGUGAGCAAUAUAUCGGAACGUGCCCAGUCGUGGGGGAUAACGCAGCGAAAGCUGUGCUAAUACCGCAUACGAUCUAAGGAUGAAGGCGGGGGAUCGCAAGACCUCGCGCGAUUGGAGCGGCCGAUAUCAGAUUAGCUAGUUGGUGGGGUAAAGGCCCACCAAGGCGACGAUCUGUAGCUGGUCUGAGAGGACGACCAGGAACACUGGAACGGAGACCCGGUGCAGACACCGACGGGAGGCAGCAGUGGGGAAUUUUGGACAAUGGGCGCAAGCCUGAUCCAGCAAUGCCGCGUGCAGGAUGAAGGCGUUCGGGUUGUAAACUGCUUUUGUACGGAACGAAACGGCCCUUUCUAAUACAGGGGGCUAAUGACGGUACCGUAAGAAUAAGCACCGGCUAACUACGUGCCAGCAGCCGCAGUAA